rnacentral:rRNA from 1 species
GGCGAACGGGUGCGUAACACGUGAGGAACAUACCUAUCGGCGGGGGAUAGCCGGCCCAACGGCCGGGUAAUACCGCGUACGCUCUCCGGGAGGCAUCUCCUGGGGAGGAAAGCAGCAAUGCACCGAUAGAGUGCCUCGCGGCCUAUCAGCUAGUUGGUGAGGUAACGGCUCACCAAGGCGACGACGGGUAGCUGGUCUGAGAGGAUGAUCAGCCACAUUGGGACUGAGACACGGCCCAGACUCCUACGGGAGGCAGCAGUGGGGAAUCUUGCGCAAUGGGCGAAAGCCUGACGCAGCGACGCCGCGUGUGGGAUGAAGGCCUUCGGGUCGUAAACCACUGUCGCGAGGGACGAAUAAAUUGACGGUACCUCGAAAGGAAGCACCGGCUAACUCUGUGCCAGCAGCCGCGGUAAUACAGAGGGUGCGAGCGUUGUCCGGAAUCACUGGGCGUAAAGGGCGCGUAGGUGGCUGUGUAAGUCGGGGGUGAAAUGCUGCGGCUCAACCGCAGCGCUGCCUCCGAGACUGCACGGCUCGAGCACGGUAGAGGCCGAUGGAAUUCC